CCUCUCAUGUGAGACUCUAAUGACCUUCUGACAUGUGAUAUCGAUUUCUAAUCCUUAAGGUUCACUUGUAAUACCCAUGGAUACUUGUAUCCAUUAGUACACGCUAAAAUCUGCAAGCAGCGGGGUGUAACACCAAAAUUAUGGUUGGCAAGGUUGCAUACUUUUAUUUAAUCUCCAAUGUUUAGUUGAUAUUCUCAAGAAUGAUAUUCAGGGUAAGUUGUGCAAUUUACCCAAAUUUAUAA